UACGGGGGGAGCAAGCGUUGUUCGGAUUUACUGGGCGUAAAGCGUGCGUAGGCGGCUAUGUAAGACAGAUGUGAAAUCCCUGGGCUCAACCUAGGAACUGCAUUUGUGACUGCAUAGCUAGAGUGUGGUAGAGGGAGAUGGAAUUCCGCAUGUAGCAGUGAAAUGCGUAGAUAUCAGGAAGAACACCCGUGGCUAAGGCGGUUCUCUAGUACGGUACUGACGCUGAGACGCGAAAGCGUGGGGAGCAAACAGG
rnacentral:rRNA from 1 species